rnacentral:rRNA from 1 species
UACGAAGGGGGCUAGCGUUGCUCGGAAUCACUGGGCGUAAAGGGUGCGUAGGCGGGUCUUUAAGUCAGGGGUGAAAUCCUGGAGCUCAACUCCAGAACUGCCUUUGAUACUGAGGAUCUUGAGUUCGGGAGAGGUGAGUGGAACUGCGAGUGUAGAGGUGAAAUUCGUAGAUAUUCGGAAGAACACCAGUGGCGAAGGCGGCCCGCUGGGCAGUGGCUGACGCUGAGGCGCGACAGCGUGGGGGAGCAAACAGG